GACGAACGCUGGCGGCGUGCUUAACACAUGCAAGUCGAACGGAAAGGCCCUGCUUUUGUGGGGUGCUCGAGUGGCGAACGGGUGAGUAACACGUGAGUAACCUGCCCUUGACUUUGGGAUAACUUCAGGAAACUGGGGCUAAUACCGGAUAGGAGCUCCUGCUGCAUGGUGGGGGUUGGAAAGUUUCGGCGGUUGGGGAUGGACUCGCGGCUUAUCAGCUUGUUGGUGGGGUAGUGGCUUACCAAGGCUUUGACGGGUAGCCGGCCUGAGAGGGUGACCGGCCACAUUGGGACUGAGAUACGGCCCAGACUCCUACGGGAGGCAGCAGUGGGGAAUAUGGCACAAUGGGCGGAAGCCUGAUGCAGCAACGCCGCAUGCGGGAUGACGGCCUUGGGGUGGUAAACCGCUUUCGCCUGUGACGAAGCGUGAGUGACGGUAAUGGGUAAAGAAGCACCGGCGAACUACGU
rnacentral:rRNA from 1 species